GCGGAGGUUUGUAGGCUGCUUCAAGAGAAGUUGUAAGUUGCCUUCCUCUUCUGUGUUUGUUUGUUUGGGCUUCUUUUAGUAGUUGAGCCUCAGUGAGUAAUGCUGACCCCAAAAAAGCGAAGGAGAAGAGCAUAAAGCAUGGUGUGAGCAAAGCCCGCAGAGAGUGAGCCAGACGCUGGCAGCCAGGAUGGUAGCAAAAAGGCAUCAGAAGAGAAGUUUCCAGUGCUCCUCUUCCCACCGGAGAAAAUGCAUCCAUCCUCACCAGAGAGCCCGGCUGUCUGCAAGGCAGACCUGGAGUCAAGCUGCUGCCCGUGGGAAAAGAUGUUCACAUGGAAUCAUAGAAUGGGCUGGGUUAGAAGGGACCUCCAAAGUUCCAACCCCCCUCUGCAGUAAGCAGGAGCAUCCUCAACUAGAUGAGACUGCCCAGAGCCCUGUCGAGCCGCACCCUGAAUAUCUCCAGGGAUGGGAUCCCAGUCACCUUCCUGGGCAGCCUGUUCCAGUGUUCUACCACCCUCAUAGUAAAGAACCUGUUCCUAAAAUCCAAUCUGAAUCUGCUCUUCUCUAGUUUGAAGCCAUUGGCCCUUAUCCUAUCACUACAGGCCUUUGUAAAGAGUCUCUCUCCAUCCUUCUUGUAGGUCCCCUUCAGGUACUGGAAGGCUGCUAUUAGGUCUUCCUGGAUCCUCCUCUUCUCCAGGCUGAACAACCCCAGCUCCCUCAGCCUGUCCUCGUAGCAGAGGUGCUCCAACUUCAUGAUAAUUUUUGUGGCCCUCCUCUGGACCUGCUCCAUCAUGUCCCUGUCCUUCCUGUAUUGAGGGCUCCAGAUCUGGACACGGUACUCCAGAACUGAGAUAGCUGCAGCAACUGCGAGGUUGUGAUAACUGCAACUCUGCAAGGUAACAUCCAUAGUUUUGGUCUUUACUCUGGAACAAACAAACAGUUAAAGUGUAGGUGUCCUGAGUUUUUUAGCAAGAUUGAUGUCCACAAAUAAGGGCACAAUAUCACCUUGAAUUUUGUUCAGUCCUGAAUGCCAUUUUAUGUAACAGAGCACCAGUUACAACAAGCAACCAAGGCCAAGAGGAUUUGGGAACUUUAUUAGUUUGUUAGAAAAAUGUUGUAAGAUCAACAAGAUGGACCUCAGGGUGCUGCUUUAAUUGAGUCCCAGCAAGAGUUUCAUACUCUGUAUCUCACAAUCACAUACCACCUGAAGGCAAACCUUUAUUUUUUUGUGCUCUGGGCCCUGGGGGAAAAAAAUGCAAUGGUUUUUAUAUUACUUUACCUGCAGCUGUGCUUUGCUGAGGUCAUGUAAUGCAUCUCAGUAGAUUUUAAUCAACAGCCUGCCUAGGAGUUUGUAUUCCUCUAUAUACAGCACCACAGCUUCUUGCUUACAGGCCACAGGCACCAGCUACAGCUAAGCUUUUUGAAUAAAAGAUUUCAUGGUUUGCUCACUUCUUGUAUAAAUAAUCUGUUUUUAAAUGCCUGUAUUGAAAUGUCAAAUAUAGUUGCAACAGAAAUUGGCCUAAGGCUAUAGUCACAGCCAUGUCUAGGUAUACAACUCUCUUGGGAUCUGUCUAGUCCCCUGACAAAAGCAACUCCUUAGUUUUUUCAGGAAGAGUUUGUGCUUGCUGGGACAUGCAUACUCACAGUUCGUUCUGUUCAUUUUUUUUUUAGGAGAAGUUUCUAACAAAUCACUACCCUGAAGAAGAACAAAGCUUUAUUUAAAACAAGCCACAUUCUGGUUGUAACAUGCAUAUCCUAUUUUUAAGGGGUUAUCAUUAAUUAUUAGGUUUUGCAUGGCUAUGAUAAUACUUUCUCACAUCACCUGAUAGCAAAUGUGCAGGCCAUAGAAUCAUACAAUCAGAGAAUGUCAGGGGGUGCAAGGGAACUCGAAAUAUCAUCUGGGGCAGCCCCCCUGCCGAGCAGGAGCACCUACAGCAGAUCAGACUGGAACGUGCCCAGACGGUUCUUGAAAAUCUCCAGCCCCCCUGGGCAGCCUGUUCCAGUGCUCUGUCACCCUCACAGGGAAAAAAAGUCUUCCUCAGGUUCACAUCUGUGAUGGUUUGGGUGUUACCCACCCCCUCACACACAUUUGCAAUGAGUGAAGUAGACAUCACCAUUGUUUCCUUCCCCAGCCUGUAAUCUAGCUCUUCUCACCAAAACAUUCUAGCUAGGCUCAAACUAGCACAACAUCGAACCUCCUAUGCCCCAACCUCAACCCACUGCCCCUUGUCCUGGCACUGAGCAUCACCACCCUUCUGGCACUCACCCUUUACAUAUUUGUAAACAUUAAUAAGGACAUCUCUUCAGCUCCUCCUCGCCAAGCUAAAGAGCCCCAGCUCUCUCAGUCUCUCCUAGUAAGGAAAACGCUCAGCUUCCUUAAUCACUUUUGUGGCUCUGUGCUGGACUCUCUCAAGCAGCUCCCUGUCCUUCUUGAGCUGGGGGGGUGCAGAACUUGACAGAGUGCUCUGGCUGAGGCCAUGUUUGCAAUUCUUGCAUUUCAUAUGGUGCUCUGUCACUUCUGCAGCAGUUUUUACAGGCUCCUUGAAACAGACUUUGUUACUAAAAGCCACUCAAUCUGCAAAUAGAAGUGUAAUGGGGUUUGAUGCAGCACUGCAC